rnacentral:rRNA from 1 species
UCGGGGUUCGAUUAAGCCAUGCGAGUCGAGAGGGUUUAGACCCUCGGCGGACUGCUCAGUAACACGUGGAUAACCUGCCCUAAGGUGGAGCAUAACCCCGGGAAACUGGGGAUAAUACUCCAUAGGUUAUGGAUGCUGGAAUGCUUCAUAACUCAAAGUUCCGGCGCCUUAGGAUGGAUCUGCGGUCGAUUAGGUUGUUGUUGGGGUAACGGCCCAACAAGCCUGUAAUCGAUACGGGUUGUGGGAGCAAGAGCCCGGAGAUGGAAUCUGAGACACGAUUCCAGGCCCUACGGGGCGCAGCAGGCGCGAAAACUUUACAAUGCAGGAAACUGUGAUAAGGGAACCCCGAGUGCCCGUAUACGCGGGCUGUCCAGGUGUCUAAAAAGCACCUGAAGAAAGGGCCGGGCAAGACCGGUGCCAGCCGCCGCGGUAAUACCGGCGGCUCGAGUGGUGGCCACUUUUAUUGGGCUUAAAGCGUCCGUAGCUGGACUCCUAAGUCCCUUGGGAAAUCUCUUGGCUUAACCAAGAGGCGUCCAAGAGAUACUGGGAGUCUAGGGACCGGGAGAGGUGAGAGGUACUCCGGGGGUAGGAGUGAAAUCCUGUAAUCCCCGGGGGACCACCUGUGGCGAAGGGGUCUCACCAGAACGGCUCCGACAGUGAGGGACGAAAGCUGGGGGAGCGAACCGGAUUAGAUACCCGGGUAGUCCCAGCCGUAAACGAUGCGCGUUAGGUGUACUGGUGACCACGAGUCACCGGGGUGCCGAAGGGAAACCGUGAAACGUGCCGCCUGGGAAGUACGGUCGC